GUUGCAGGAGUCAUUUUGUGUGUUGUAACUCACGCCUCCGACCACCAGGUGGCACCUCUGUGUUUGGAUUGAGGUGGAUGAAGUCCAGCUGAUGCUGAUGUGUUGGGUUUUGUUGUGGCUGCACAGUGGAUUCAGAUCCAGGCUGCAGGACACUGUGGAUCCAGUGAGGUGGACCGAGGAGGAGGAGGACAAAAUGAGAUCAGGAGCCACAACUUGAACCACCGGGACACAAAUGAAAGUCGAUGCUACAGAAUGAAAUGUACAGAAUUUUUAGAACAAGAGAAGAAGACCUGGAGGAAGAAGCUCUGCAGCCUGACGGCUCUAACAGACCAGCGUUGCAGUGACGGACUCACAGACUCUCCUCGACCUCUGACCCCCACCGCAGGGCCUCAGCAUGGACCACCGGCCUCAGCUUGGCUAUCAGCGCACAACAGGAGGCUGUACUUGUUCCCUGCAUGGAAAUAGUCCAGUGUGCUGA